rnacentral:tRNA from 1 species
GGGGCUGUAGCUCAGUGGCAGAGCGCUUGCCUAGCAAGCAGGAGGCACUGGGUUUGAUCCUCAGCACCA